GUGAAAUUGUUGAAAGGGAAGCGCUUGCAACCAGACCUGCCUGCAGUUGCUCAUCCGGGCUUUUGCCCGGUGCACUCUUCUGCUGUCAGGCCAGCAUCAGUUCGGGCGGUCGGAUAAAGGCUUCGGGAAUGUAGCUCCUCUCGAGGAGUGUUAUAGCCCGUUGCGAAAUGCGGCCAGCCUGAACUGAGGUCCGCGCUUCGGCUAGGAUGCUGGCGUAAUGGUUGUAAGCGGCCCGUCUUGAAACACGGACCAAGGAGUCUAACAUCUGUGCGAGUGUUUGGGUGUCAAACCCGUACGCGUAAUGAAAGUGAACGGAGGCGGGAACCCCUCGGGGUGCACCGUCGACCGAUCCUGAUGUCUUCGGAUGGAUUUGAGUAAGAGCAUAGCUGUUGGGACCCGAAAGAUGGUGAACUAUGCCUGAAUAGGGUGAAGCCAGAGGAAACUCUGGUGGAGGCUCGCAGCGGUUCUGACGUGCAAAUCGAUCGUCAAAUUUGGGCAUAGGGGCGAAAGACUAAUCGAACUAUCUAGUAGCUGGUUCCUGCCGAAGUUUCCCUCAGGAUAGCAGUAACGUUUUCAGUUUUAUGAGGUAAAGCGAAUGAUUAGAGGCCUGGGGGUUGAAACAACCUUCACCUAUUCUCAAACUUUAAAUAUGUAAGAAGUCCUUGUUGCUUAGUUGAACGUGGACAUUUGAAUGUAUCGUUACUAGUGGGCCAUUUUUGGUAAGCAGAACUGGCGAUGCGGGAUGAACCGAACGCGGAGUUAAGGUGCCGGAAUGCACG
rnacentral:rRNA from 1 species